UUUUAUGAGAGUUUGAUCCUGGCUCAGGACGAACGCUGGCGGCGUGCCUAAUACAUGCAAGUCGAACGCUUCUUUUUCCACCGGAGCUUGCUCCACCGGAAAAAGAAGAGUGGCGAACGGGUGAGUAACACGUGGGUAACCUGCCCAUCAGAAGGGGAUAACACUUGGAAACAGGUGCUAAUACCGUAUAACAAUCGAAACCGCAUGGUUUUGAUU
rnacentral:rRNA from 1 species